UACCAAGGCGACGAUCAGUAGCCGACCUGAGAGGGUGAUCGGCCACAUUGGAACUGAGACACGGUCCAAACUCCUACGGGAGGCAGCAGUGGGGAAUAUUGCACAAUGGGCGAAAGCCUGAUGCAGCCACGCCGCGUGAGUGAUGAAGGCCUUCGGGUCGUAAAACUCUGUCCUCAAGGAAGAUAAUGACGGUACUUGAGGAGGAAGCCCCGGCUAACUACGUGCCAGCAGCCGCGGUAAUACGUCGGGGGCUAGCGUUAUCCGGAUUUACUGGGCGUAAAGGGUGCGUAGGCGGUCUUUCAAGUCAGGAGUGAAAGGCUACGGCUCAACCGUAGUAAGCUCUUGAAACUGGGAGACUUGAGUGCAGGAGAGGAGAGUGGAAUUCCUAGUGUAGCGGUGAAAUGCGUAGAUAUUAGGAGGAACACCAGUUGCGAAGGCGGCUCUCUGGACUGU
rnacentral:rRNA from 1 species